GAUCUCCCCGUGCAGAAGCGGGCAUAAUAAUACAAGACGAGAAGACCCUUUGGAGCUUGAGAUGUAAGACCAACUAUGUCAAGAAACCCUAAAAGGAUUAAACUAAAUAGUAACUGGUCCUCAUCUUCGGUUGGGGCGACCACGGGAGACAACAAAGCUCCCACGCGGACUGGGGAAACCCCUAAAACUAAGAGAGACAUCUCUAAGUCACAGAAUAUCUGACCUAAUAGAUCCGGCUUCUGCCGAUCAACGGACCAAGUUACCCUAGGGAUAACAGCGCAAUCCCCUUCCAGAGUUCAUAUCGACAAGGGGGUUUACGACCUCGAUGUUGGAUCAGGACAUCCUAAUGGUGCAGCCGCUAUUAAGGGUUCGUUUGUUCAACGAUUAAAGUCCU
rnacentral:rRNA from 1 species